CCUAAUCUUCCCAUGGCAAACUGCUCAGUAACACAUGAUCAACUUACCCUAUAGAGAGAAAUACCCUCGGGAAACUGAGGAUAAUGGCUCAUAAUUGAAAAGGCUUGGAAAAGUUUUUCAAUUAAAGGAUGUGAUAAAUGGUUCUUAUCCGCUAUAGGAUAGGAUCGUGCUCGAUUAUGGUUGUUGGUGAGGUAAAGGCUCACCAAGCCGAUAAUCGAUAGGGGCCGUGAGAGCGGGAGCCCCGAGAUGGGUACUGAGACAACGACCCAGGCCUUACGAGGCGCAGCAGGCGCGAAACCUCCGCAAUACACGAAAGUGUGACGGGGUUACCCAAAGUGUUCAAUUCUGAACUGUGGUAGGUGAGUAAUGUUCCCUACUAGAAAGGAGAGGGCAAGGCUGGUGCCAGCCGCCGCGGUAAAACCAGCUCUUCAAGUGGUCGGGAUAUUUAUUGGGCUUAAAGUGUCCGUAGCCGGUUUAACAAGUUCCUGGUAAAAUCGGGUAGCUUAACUAUCUGUAUGCUAGGAAUACUGUCAUACUAGAGGGCGGGAGAGGUCUGAGGUACUACAGGGGUAGGGGUGAAAUCUUAUAAACCUUGUAGGACCACCAGUGGCGAAGGCGUCAGACUGGAACGCGCCUGACGGUGAGGGACGAAAGCCAGGGGAGCGAACCGGAUUAGAUACCCGGGUAGUCCUGGGCCGUAAACGAUGCAUACUAGGUGAUGGCAAGGCCAUGAGCCGUGUCAGUGCCGUAGGGAAACCGUUAAGUGUGCCGCCUGGGAAGUACGGUCGCAAGGCUAAAACUUAAAGGAAUUGGCGGGGGAGCACCACAAGGGGU
rnacentral:rRNA from 1 species